rnacentral:rRNA from 1 species
AUGAAGCACAAUCGAUUAAUUUUCGCCAAUAUUGGUCAUGCUGGGGGAUACAUGUACCAGUAUCCGCCAGAGUUUCCAAUGUCCCACGAUCUUGGGCUGAGUUUGGUAACACAUCUCGGAAGAUUGUUGGGGAGUUCUUUGCAACAUCGCAGGGAGAUCUGUUUUUCAGGAAAUGUGAAGGCUCAGGAAGCAUUCAUCUGCCUCAGGAAGUUUGCCAGAGCUUUCUUCUUCUGGUUUUCUAGAGCGUAUGACCCCAAGAGUCCCCACGGGUUUUCACAUAUAAAGCGAGUGACUUCUGGUGUGCAAAAUUUGGUGGGAUCGCAGUUUGCUUCUCUAAAAGAAGGGCAUGCUGUACAGCUGUUGUUAGCCAGACUUGCACAGGCAACCGUUGGACGAAUGUGGAAUGACAUUGAGCAGCAACAUGCCAGCAAUCUUCUUACUAUGGCUGGUUUUGCUGCUAUCGUACCACCAUUUGAAAACAUAUCUCCGAAGAUGCUUGCAGAGUUGAUGGUGUUUGGGAAUGUUGAUGGUUAUAUCAACAUGCCAGCAGAUCAGUCUUGUUUGGACGGAAAACGCUUAAGUUGUUCUUCUGUUGCUGUGCCAACUACGAUCUUUCAGGAAGACGCAGUUGAACCAAAAACUGGAAUCAAGUUCCCUGCAUUCCUUGAAGAUGACUCCUGUCCAGCUACAACGGUCCUCGUUGGGGUGGGUUUCAAAGGCAUGAAAAUAAUGAGGGUCAAAAAUUUGAACCUGUACGCUUUUGGUUUAUAUAUGCAACCGAAUACUAUUUGCGAGAAGCUGGGUCCUAAGUAUGCUUCAGUUCCAACCACCAAUCUGAAGGAUGACCCAGAUUUCUAUAAUGAUCUUCUGAGGGAAAACCUUCAUAUCAGGCUUAGGUUGGUAGUCAACUACAAAGGCCUUAGCAUUGGUGCAGUGAGAGAUGUAUUCGAGAAGUCACUUGGCCUGCGUUUGCGAAAGAUAAAUCCCAACACUGACUAUCAUUGCUUGAAGACCUUUGCUUCUUACUUCACUAAAGAUAUCCCUAUACCUGCUGGCACAAAGAUCGACUUCUGCCAAACGUCCGACGGUCAGCUAAUAACAGAAAUUGAUGGCAGGCAGAUCAGUGCUGUUGAGAGCAAAGACCUUUGCAGGGCUUUCUUCGACAUGUACAUCGGCGAUUCGCCCGUAUCGUUAGAGGCCAAAAGGGAAGUCGCCCGGAACGUCGCCGGACUCAUGGGAAGAUGCGGCGGAUGA